rnacentral:rRNA from 1 species
CACGUAGGGCGCAAGCGUUGUUCGGAUUCAUUGGGCGUAAAGGGUGCGUAGGCGGCGCGGUAAGUCGGGUGUGAAAUCUUGGAGCUUAACUCCGAAACUGCAUUCGAUACGUGCCGUGCUUGAGGACUGGAGAGGAGACUGGAAUUUACGGUGUAGCGGUGAAAUGCGUAGAUAUCGUAAGGAAGACCAGUGGCGAAGGCGGGUCUCUGGACAGUUCCUGACGCUGAGGCACGAAGGCCAGGGAGCAAACGGG